AGAGUUUGAUCCUGGCUCAGGAUGAACGCUGGCGGUAUGCCUAACACAUGCAAGUCGAACGGAAUCUUCGGAUUUAGUGGCGGACGGGUGAGUAACGCGUGAGAAUCUGCCUUCAGGAUGGGGACAACAGUUGGAAACGACUGCUAAUACCCGAUAUGCAGCGAUGUGAAAGAUUUAUCGCCUGGAGAUGAGCUCGCGUUGGAUUAGCUAGAUGGUGUGGUAAUGGCGCACCAUGGCGACGAUCCAUAGCUGGUCUGAGAGGAUGAGCAGCCACGCUGGGACUGAGACACGGCCCAGACUCCUACGGGAGGCAGCAGUGGGGAAUUUUCCGCAAUGGGCGCAAGCCUGACGGAGCAAUACCGCGUGAGGGAGGAAGGCUCUUGGGUCGUAAACCUCUUUUCUCAGGGAAGAACACAAUGACGGUACCUGAGGAAUAAGCAUCGGCUAACUCCGUGCCAGCAGCCGCGGUAAUACGGAGGAUGCAAGCGUUAUCCGGAAUGAUUGGGCGUAAAGCGUCCGUAGGUGGUUUUGUAAGUCUGUGGUUAAAGCGUGGAGCUCAACUCCAUAAGGGCCAUGGAAACUACAAGACUAGAGUGAAGUAGGGGUAGAGGGAAUUCCCAGUGUAGCGGUGAAAUGCGUAGAGAUUGGGAAGAACACCGGUGGCGAAAGCGCUCUACUGGACUUAUACUGACACUGAGGGACGAAAGCUAGGGGAGCGAAAGGGAUUAGAUACCCCUGUAGUCCUAGCCGUAAACGAUGGAUACUAGGUGUUGCCCGUAUCGACCCGGGCAGUGCCGUAGCUAACGCGUUAAGUAUCCCGCCUGGGGAGUACGCACGCAAGUGUGAAACUCAAAGGAAUUGACGGGGGCCCGCACAAGCGGUGGAGUAUGUGGUUUAAUUCGAUGCAACGCGAAGAACCUUACCAGGGCUUGACAUGUCUGGAAUCUCGGCGAAAGUUGAGAGUGCCUUCGGGAACCAGAACACAGGUGGUGCAUGGCUGUCGUCAGCUCGUGUCGUGAGAUGUUGGGUUAAGUCCCGCAACGAGCGCAACCCUCGUUUUUAGUUGCCAUCAUUCAGUUGGGCACUCUAGAAAGACUGCCGGUGACAAACCGGAGGAAGGUGGGGAUGACGUCAAGUCAGCAUGCCCCUUACGCCCUGGGCUACACACGUACUACAAUGCUAUGGACAAAGGGCAGCCAACCAGCGAUGGUCGCUAAUCCCAUAAACCAUGGCUCAGUUCAGAUUGCAGGCUGCAACUCGCCUGCAUGAAGGCGGAAUCGCUAGUAAUCGCAGGUCAGCAUACUGCGGUGAAUCCGUUCCCGGGCCUUGUACACACCGCCCGUCACACCAUGGGAGUUGGUCACGCCCGAAGUCGUUACCCUAACUGCUUGCAGAGGGGGACGCCGAAGGUAGGGCUGAUGACUGGGGUGAAGUCGAAGCAAGGUA
rnacentral:rRNA from 1 species